CAGAAUGUGUCUGACCAAAAACCUCUAAAGACUCACUACAGCCAAGAUAAAGACACAACUCAGCUGCACCAAAUCCACUAAUCACUGCACACAUUAGCACCAUGUGCUAACUGUGGCUAAAGAACCACAUUUACCAAGACAGCUAUCCAGUACAAAGCCCUAAAACACACCAAGAAACACAUUAAAGACGAUUUUACUGCUGGAAGCUGCAAGCCAACGCCUAAAGAACAAACUAAAGCAAUGGCGCCAAACCCAGUUCAGUUGGUGAAGAGAAGCAGAGGAAAUGUUUGUCUGCAGCUAAACAAAGCAGGAAGACACUGAGCUGCUCAGGUGUUCCUGAUAACACCAAGCAGCCACCUGGACAGCCAAUAGGAACACAGCUUACUGGAAGUCCAGAGGGCUGGGUUAGUGAAGGAAAUUUAGUUUAAAGUUGAAGCAGAAAGUUAACAAAGAAAGUUGAAAACCACCUUCUGAUACCUGAAAUCUCUGAGUUUUCACACAAAGAACACCUGAACAUGUCAAACUGGUUCCAUAGUAGAACCAUCAUUGUAAAAACAUCAUAGUAUGGUGUGUUGCUCAAAAAACAUUAGGACCCGGCUGUCAGGGGACAAACAUGUAAGAAACAUGAGACCAGAGAGAACCCAACCAGUAGGUCACAGUUUAUCAUCCCCCAGUCAUCUCCUGAAGUCCAUAUGAUCCACCAACCACUGGAACACAUCUCCAAAGUUCUGCUGGUCCAGCUCAGCUUCCCCUCAGAAGAAGUGGCGCCACCUGCCAGAUGAAGGAAACUUUUUAGAGGCAGCUGGCAUCGUGAUUGGACUGUACUUUGGUCUGUUCCAAUCCAGCUUCAGCUCCAGAGACGGCAGGCGGGACGAGUCAACGGAGGCCGGGUGGACGAAGGCAUGCAGCUGAGUACAAUCCAGAAAACAACAGAGGAGGAGGAAACAAACAUAGUAGCAU
ensembl:lncRNA